AUAGCAGUAGCUCUGUGGUCGAACUCCCACUUCGUACGCGGGAAUACCUGGGUUCGAUUCCCGGCUGCUUUC
rnacentral:tRNA from 1 species